UCAGAAUUCUCCGAGAAACGACAAAGUAACGAUCCCAGAAGAUGAAUACAAAACACCUGAUGUGUUUGUUAGUGGCGGCCGCAGUUCUUCUGGCCAUUGCUCCGGCAGCAAACGCCCGAUACUAUGAUUACGGAUAUGACGGAAACUAUGGCUACCCCGGAAACUAUGGCAACUCCGGAAACUAUGGCUACCCCGGAUACAAUGACAACUAUUAUGGUGGAUGGCUAGGAAAACUUUUCGGAGGAUGGGGCGAUUAUGGAUAUGGCGAUUAUGGAUAUGACGAUUAUGGAUAUGGCAAAUAAACAUUGUAAUGAAGUUGUCCUUAAAGAGAAGCGUAUCUACCUAUACCAUAGUUUGCCAAACAUACAGAAAACCUUUCCAUGUGAUUGACGUUCAUAUAUUGUUGUAAAAAUCAAUGAAUAAACUAAAUCGGACAUCAA